rnacentral:rRNA from 1 species
CCUACGGGCGGCAGCAGUGGGGAAUAUUGGACAAUGGGCGAAAGCCUGAUCCAGCCAUGCCGCGUGUGUGAAGAAGGCCUUCGGGUUGUAAAGCACUUUCAGUGGGGAAGAAAGCCUUGGGGCUAAUACCCUCGAUGAAGGACAUCACCCACAGAAGAAGCACCGGCUAACUCCGUGCCAGCAGCCGCGGUAAUACGGAGGGUGCGAGCGUUAAUCGGAAUUACUGGGCGUAAAGCGCGCGUAGGCGGUCUGAUAAGCCGGUUGUGAAAGCCCCGGGCUCAACCUGGGAACGGCAUCCGGAACUGUCAGGCUAGAGUGCAGGAGAGGAAGGUAGAAUUCCCGGUGUAGCGGUGAAAUGCGUAGAGAUCGGGAGGAAUACCAGUGGCGAAGGCGGCCUUCUGGACUGACACUGACGCUGAGGUGCGAAAGCGUGGGUAGCAAACAGGAUUAGAUACCCGAGUAGUC